CGUUAUUUUUUUAAUCUGCCAGAACAUACAUUUUUCUUACCUGUCAUUAUUAUUAUUAUUAUUUGAGGUGGAGUCCUGCUGUAUCACCAGGCUGGAGUGCAGUGGUGCAAUCUCGGCUCACUGCAGUCCCUGCCUCCUGAGUUCAAGCAAUUCUUGUGCCUCAGCCUCCCUAGUAGCUGAGAUUACAGGCGUGUGCCACCACGCCCAGCUAAUUUUUCUAUUUCUAGUAGAUAUGGGGUUUCACCAUGUUGGCCAGGCUGGUCUCGAACUCCUAUCCUCAAGCAAUCUGCCUGCCUUGGCCUCCCAAAGUGCUGGGAUUAGAGGCGUGAGUCACCUCGCCCAGCCUCUUACCUGUCAUUCUUGAGGAGCCCAGUGUAGGAGGGAAGGGCUGUGUAUCUGUGAGUGCGGGUAAAGCACACGGAAGCUGGCCAUGUUCGUCAUCUUGGUUUCAUACUGACAAGCAGGAGUCAGUGUGCCCCAUGGCGUGGGGGCCCUGGAAGGAAGCCUCUGCAGCUGCAGAAAGACAGACCCCACUUGGAAAAUAAAACAGCAGCAUAAGGACUUGGGCUCUAAUUACAGAGUUGUCAGGUUGAAGAGAAGUGGUUGUGGGAUAACAGGAAGAGAAAAUAUUUUGGUUCUUCUCAGCAUAAUGAAUUUUCAUCAGUACGCCUAUUUCCUUGUUUAGCUUUUUGCGCAAAUGUGGACCUUUCGCCUCCUCCUGUGUGCUCUUCCUUAAAACCCUAUUUCUCCAAUUGUUUUAUAGAUCAGCUUUGUCAGAGCUUGGGCGUCAGAGGUCAUUGCUGUUCUUGUAUUGACUUGUUCAUUUGUUCUUUAUCCAUUCACUUGUUCCCUGCAUAUUUUGAAAGUGUUUUGCAUUGCAUUGAACUGGAGACAGGGGAUACAAAAGACAAGCCCUGCUUUUGUCACUCAGUCCUGUGGCCCAGUUUCCUUUCGCGCUUUUCUCUUCCAAUGGUGGGGAGAAGGAUCCAGAGCUCCCUAGGUGCACUGUCCAGAAAAAUGGAAAAGUGAAGUCACCAUGAGAACACGAAGUUCAGCGUGAGAGUACCAGCAGUCUUGCUCAAGGAGAGGUCUGCUGCAAGCAAGAGACGGCGGCUACACCCCUACUGGAAGUGCUUGACCUGCAGGAGGCACAGCUGCCCUAGAGUUAACCUUGAGGGGUACGUUAUUUUUGAUCUCUGAAGCCCACUGUGGUUUCUGCUGCCUUGGUGGAGAAGGCAGUGCAGGUACAGGAGACUCACAUCCAGCCCAGCUCGCCCUGCUGCUGGGGGCCUCAGGCGGUGGGGAUGCAGGAGAGGCUGGCGGGCUGCCAUUGCACACUGCUGCCGGCCUGGCCUCUGGACACAUGGCCAGUGUGCAGGGUGCUGUCCCGGGGAUGGUGAUGGCUGCACUUCAUUCAUUCCAUCCACAGGUGUCUGUGGAGGGCCCACGACGUGUCAGUUGUGGUGCGUUGUGGUGUGCAGGACAGGGAAGGUACCUAUGCCUCAUGCAGCAGUGGUAUAGUCAUGUGAGAGUGACUAGUCAUUUCUGAAGCAUCUUCAACAUCACAUUAAAAAAAAACUUAAAUUAGGCCGGGCACGGUUGCUCAUGCUGGUAAUCCCAGCACUCUGGGAGGCCGAGUCGGGCUGAUCUCCUGAGCUCAGGAGUUCGAGACCACCCUGGGCAACAUGGUGAAACCCCGUCUCUACUAAAA
rnacentral:lncRNA from 1 species